AUAAUCUUCAUGUUUUGGUUUCGAUUUCGGUCUGCUGGUCGGAUGCUCUGUACAGCAAGCUUUUUUGACCGCCCGAGCAUAAGUUUACAACACCCGCGCUAUCUUCUCUCGAUAGCGUUUUCUGUCAGUAAAGCUUCGCUCGUAUCUGGCCAAGCACUAAAAAUCAUCUAACGGGAGGAUGCAAUCCCAUCGAAAACGAGUUGCUGGUCAGGAAAAUUAUGGAGGCCUCCAUUUUCAUUGUGUUCAUCGACAUCAUCACCCUUUUCGUCCACCACGAAGGACAUCCACUCACUGAUAUAAGAUCUACGGCUAUGUAGAGCGGUAGCAACGUGGCCAUGAUGUACGCCAGGAGACGAGAAUCCUGCCAUGUGGCUCUGGUGACUACAUGUUGGAUCCGGAGCUCUAUGACAACAUCAUCAUAAUCGCAGCACUUCAUCCCAUGAAGCGGAAUCAUCUAAGAUUUAAUUUGUUUAUUUUUUAAUAAAAUUAU